rnacentral:rRNA from 1 species
GUACGACGGAGCACGUGAAAUUCCGUCGGAAUCUGGGAGGACCAUCUCCUAAGGCUAAAUACUCUCUAGUGACCGAUAGUGAACCAGUACCGUGAGGGAAAGGUGAAAAGCACCCCGGAAGGGGAGUGAAAUAGAACCUGAAACCGUGUGCUUACAAGUAGUCAGAGCCCGUUAAUGGGUGAUGGCGUGCCUUUUGUAGAAUGAACCGGCGAGUUACGAUUUGAUGCAAGGUUAAGCAGUAAAUGUGGAGCCGUAGCGAAAGCGAGUCUGAAUAGGGCGUUUAGUAUUUGGUCGUAGACCCGAAACCAGGUGAUCUACCCUUGGUCAGGUUGAAGUUCAGGUAACACUGAAUGGAGGACCGAACCGACUUACGUUGAAAAGUGAGCGGAUGAACUGAGGGUAGCGGAGAAAUUCCAAUCGAACCUGGAGAUAGCUGGUUCUCUCCGAAAUAGCUUUAGGGCUAGCCUCAAGUGAUGAUUAUUGGAGGUAGAGCACUGUUUGGACGAGGGGCCCCUCUCGGGUUACCGAAUUCAGACAAACUCCGAAUGCCAAUUAAUUUAACUUGGGAGUCAGAACAUGGGUGAUAAGGUCCGUGUUCGAAAGGGAAACAGCCCAGACCACCAGCUAAGGUCCCAAAAUAUAUGUUAAGUGGAAAAGGAUGUGGCGUUGCCCAGACAACUAGGAUGUUGGCUUAGAAGCAGCCAUCAUUUAAAGAGUGCGUAAUAGCUCACUAGUCGAGUGACACUGCGCCGAAAAUGUACCGGGGCUAAACAUAUUACCGAAGCUGUGGAUUGUCCUUUGGACAAUGGUAGGAGAGCGUUCUAAGGGCGUUGAAGCAUGAUCGUAAGGACAUGUGGAGCGCUUAGAAGUGAGAAUGCCGGUGUGAGUAGCGAAAGACGGGUGAGAAUCCCGUCCACCGAUUGACUAAGGUUUCCAGAGGAAGGCUCGUCCGCUCUGGGUUAGUCGGGUCCUAAGCUGAGGCCGACAGGCGUAGGCGAUGGAUAACAGGUUGAUAUUCCUGUACCACCUAUAAUCGUUUUAAUCGAUGGGGGGACGCAGUAGGAUAGGCGAAGCGUGCGAUUGGAUUGCACGUCUAAGCAGUAAGGCUGAGUAUUAGGCAAAUCCGGUACUCGUUAAGGCUGAGCUGUGAUGGGGAGAAGACAUUGUGUCUUCGAGUCGUUGAUUUCACACUGCCGAGAAAAGCCUCUAGAUAGAAAAUAGGUGCCCGUACCGCAAACCGACACAGGUAGUCAAGAUGAGAAUUCUAAGGUGAGCGAGCGAACUCUCGUUAAGGAACUCGGCAAAAUGACCCCGUAACUUCGGGAGAAGGGGUGCUCUUUAGGGUUAACGCCCAGAAGAGCCGCAGUGAAUAGGCCCAAGCGACUGUUUAUCAAAAACACAGGUCUCUGCUAAACCGUAAGGUGAUGUAUAGGGGCUGACGCCUGCCCGGUGCUGGAAGGUUAAGAGGAGUGGUUAGCUUCUGCGAAGCUACGAAUCGAAGCCCCAGUAAACGGCGGCCGUAACUAUAACGGUCCUAAGGUAGCGAAAUUCCUUGUCGGGUAAGUUCCGACCCGCACGAAAGGCGUAACGAUUUGGGCACUGUCUCAACGAGAGACUCGGUGAAAUCAUAGUACCUGUGAAGAUGCAGGUUACCCGCGACAGGACGGAAAGACCCCGUGGAGCUUUACUGUAGCCUGAUAUUGAAAUUCGGCACAGCUUGUACAGGAUAGGUAGGAGCCUUUGAAACGUGAGCGCUAGCUUACGUGGAGGCGCUGGUGGGAUACUACCCUAGCUGUGUUGGCUUUCUAACCCGCACCACUUAUCGUGGUGGGAGACAGUGUCAGGCGGGCAGUUUGACUGGGGCGGUCGCCUCCUAAAAGGUAACGGAGGCGCUCAAAGGUUCCCUCAGAAUGGUUGGAAAUCAUUCAUAGAGUGUAAAGGCAUAAGGGAGCUUGACUGCGAGACCUACAAGUCGAG